ensembl:processed_transcript
GAGCUUUCCGCGUCCAUCUCCAUGGACGCUAGACUGGGCCAACGCCUGCAGGGUGCUGCCAUUGCUCUGCUCUGUAAAGCUGGUUCCUGUUGAGGCCACCAGGACAUCUGACCCGCUCAGACUGCCAGGAGCUUCCGGCGCUGGCAAUGUCCCAAAUAUUAAAAACAACAGUAGACAAUAGCGCACCAGAUUCUGAUGAGUCCUUAUUUUAUGAAGAAUACCAGGGGUUGGGUUCUGUUUAUCUCUACUAUCUGCCUGCGCCAACAGUUUGAAUGAACAGGACCCUGAGCCAGCCACAUGAGGAGAGAGAGGAGACAAGGAGACCAACAGGCCGGGAAGGUAAAGGGUUAAAAAAUGUAAAAAGGAUCAGCAUAGUCAAAGUGGAUGGAUUACAUAGGGAAGAACCCCAGAAGGGCAGCUCGGCACCUGGGCUGGAGGGUUCAGGGGGUGGAAUAUGCCAGCCAACCCUGUAACAGAUGUCUCUAUUCUAAAUGAGUCUUGAAGUGGAAACUUCUGGUUUCCUUGGAAAGUUAUGCCAAAUGAUGUUUUGCUGGGGUACAAAGGUGAAAGGAUAUCUCGCUAAAGCAAACACGUGAAAGACUGUUUUCCUGAAGCAGACACAGGUGAAAGGGUAUUUGGAUAGAGCAAAGCCAUGAAAGGACCUGUGAUGAAGGAGUAUAAAUAUGACCCCCCUGACAGUGGGAGACAAGCACAGAGCACUGGUUUGAUUUGCUCCACCUCGAUAUUCUUCUUUAACAACACUCAUGUAUUGGUUCGCCUUACAUUGAGUUCAACUUGUGAUAACUCUGGCACUGGGAGAAACUCAACAAAGAACUGCUCAUAAGGUUCCUAUGGCAGCUUGCUGCUUCUGAGCCCUCUCCUCAGGCCGGUUGGCAAGCCUAGCAGCUUCUCCAGGAUUGAACUACAGUUGCUGCUUCGUGGUUGGUGUCUGCCUAGAGGACUGGUCUGAAGCUGCUGUGUUGUAUUUGGUAUUUGCUAUGGGACUGCUCUGCUGCAAAAGAAGAUCAAGGCUCACCCACCAAAGAACUAUUGCUAAACAGGUCCAGUUCCCCCAUCCUAAUAGCUUGUCUCUUCUACUACCUCUGCUGGGUGGUGGGCUAGAGGAGAGGUUGAACCCUUCUUAAAAGUAGGUUGCAAAAAAUUUACGCUACAAAAUUCAUGUUCCUAGCUAUGCCUAUUUUACCUUGUAAGGAACUGCAUUUGAAUGCAUAUUAUACUGCAUCAUACUAUACUACACAGAGCUAUAUAGGCCAUCACAAGCCUCUUGAGGCUAGACACUUUAGAUGGUUUUUCCUCGUUGUGUUACUUCUCUGGAAUAGUAUUUGAAGGCUUGCUGAAAGAAUCAAAUGAAUCCGUUUUGAGU